rnacentral:hammerhead_ribozyme from 1 species
AUUCAGCUGACGAGUCGCAAAUAGGACGAAAUUGCUUCUUGGAU